AUACUUUCUUGCUAUUGAGGUUAUUACUUAUCAAUACUACAUUUAUUAUUAUUUUAUUAUUUUUAGGAUGUGUUUUAUUAUUUUAAGGAUGUGUAUGUGGAUCUAUUUAUAUACAUUAAUAAUGCAUACUUAAUUAUAGUUCAGAUGAAGAUUUUUAAAAUGUUAGUUUAUGUGUCCAGAAAAGAGAAAAUGUUUGUGUUCAUCUUAUGUCAAUGUUGUGCAUCUGAAGACACAUGUUGAAGGUUUUCCCCCAAACAUAUAGUGCACAUUUAAAUUGAUAUCAUAUCUUGCACAUUCAAGUUGACCAUUCAGAAUCAAAUUUCAACACAUUGUGGUGUUGUUGCCAAAUUGGUUAUAGCAGCAGAGACUAAUUGGUUUGUUUGGGUUUUUUUUUUCUUUACAUUAUCUUUAGAAUGACUACCAUAUCCUUAUAAAACUGAAGAAAAUUAAGAGGACAAUUGGAGUAAUAUUAUGCUGUCCUGAGAAAAUAUUAAAUAAAACUGCAUACGAAAUUGAGGAUGAUCAAUGUGGUAUAUAAUUGUACAUACUGUAAAAAUUGUUAAAUUUGCUCACUUAUGACUUUAAUGCUUAAACGAAUUCUCUAUAAAUAUGAAAUAUUGUGAGAGAGCACUUUGUAUACUAUAAUGUGCUUUGUAUGAUUGUUAUUCACCUCAUAUCAUGUAUUUAUUUGGGAAGUGUUACCCACAAGUUU
rnacentral:lncRNA from 1 species